UCUGCUUCGUGUCUAUCCAUGCAUCUGAGCAAAACCACGUCGAAGUUUCUCUUGUAUAGUAUAUCACCAUUCAAGUAGAAAUUUCCGGCUAAUCUUCUCAAAGUCUUCUUAUCUUUCAAAGAUGCCCCAGACGGGUAAAUCUGACUUUGGAGGAAACAUUUGAUGUCAUAAUACCACGGCUUCUCGUCUUCGAUCUCUUCAACAGCAAACACAUGAGCUGGCCUAUCAAGACGCAUCACAAACAAAUUGGGGACUUCAUU
rnacentral:lncRNA from 1 species